UCAAGCAACUAAGCGCAUACGGUGGAUGCCUUGGCAGUCAGAGGCGAUGAAAGACGUGGAAGCCUGCGAUAAGGCUCGGGGAGCUGGCAAACAAGCUGUGAUCCGGGCAUUUCUGAAUGGGGAAACCCACCGACUUUCGGGUCGGUACCUUACACUGAAUCCAUAGGUGUAAGGGGCGAACCGGGGGAACUGAAACAUCUAAGUACCCGGAGGAAAGGACAUCAACCGAGACUCCGCUAGUAGUGGCGAGCGAACGCGGACCAGGCCAGUGGCAUCGACACGGGAACCGGAACCGUCUGGAAAGGCGGGCGAGAGUGGGUGACAGCCCCGUACGGAUCAAUCCUUGUCGGUGUCCUCGAGUAGGGCGGGGCACGUGAAACCCUGUCUGAACGUGGGGGGACCACCCUCCAAGCCUAAGUACUCCUUACCGACCGAUAGUGAACUAGUACCGUGAGGGAAAGAUGAAAAGUACCCCGAUGAGGGGAGUGAAACAGUACCUGAAACCGGAUGCUUACAAGCUGAGGGAGCUCUUCGGAGUGACCUCGUACCUUUUGUAUAAUGGGUCAACGACUUAGUGUUGCAUGCAAGCUUAAGCCGAUAGGUGUAGGCGUAGCGAAAGCGAGUCUGAAUAGGGCGACUGAGUUCGUGGGAUGAGACCCGAAGCCAGGUGAUCUAGCCAUGUGCAGGUUGAAGGUGCGGUAACACGCACUGGAGGACCGAACCCACGUCUGUUGAAAAAGACGGGGAUGACGUGUGGCUAGGGGUGAAAGGCCAAUCAAACUCGGAAAUAGCUGGUUCUCCGCGAAAUCUAUUUAGGUAGAGCGUCGGAUGAAUACUCUCGGGGGUAGAGCAC
rnacentral:rRNA from 1 species